rnacentral:antisense_RNA from 1 species
CUUGACCGAGCCCAACCACAGCGGCUGCUCGCGGUCCUGGCCGUAGGUGGCCAGCAGUGCCUGUGCCUC